rnacentral:rRNA from 1 species
UAUGUGAUCGUCUCUCGCAUAUCAAUAAGCGGAGGAAAAGAAACUAACAAGGAUUCCCCUAGUAACGGCGAGUGAAGCGGGAAGAGCUCAAAUUUGAAAUCUUAAAGGGUUUCCCUUUACGAAUUGUAGUUUAAAGAAGUGUUUUCUGUUGAGGUUUUGGUAAAAGUUCUUUGGAAUAGGACAUCAUAGAGGGUGAGAAUCCCGUAUUUGACCUUUACUUUCAACUUUGUGAUACACUUUCAAAGAGUCGGAUUGUUUGGGAAUGCAGUCCAAAAUGGGUGGUAAAUUUCAUCUAAAGCUAAAUAUUGGCGAGAGACCGAUAGCGAACAAGUACCGUGAGGGAAAGAUGAAAAGAACUUUGAAAAGAGAGUUAAACAGUACGUGAAAUUGUCAAAAGGGAAGCGUUUGACACCAGUGUUGUUUUUCUGAAAAUCAAUUAAAGAACUGUUUAUGCUAAGUUGUUUAGACUUUAUCAGCUAACUGUUUAGUUUUGAGCUUUUCUUUAAUGCACUUUUCAGUUAACAAGUCAACAUCAAUUUCUUUUGCUGUAAAAAAGCUUGAGGAAGGUGGCUUGAGAUUCGUCUUAAGUGUUUAUAGCCUCUUGCCUAUGCAGUCGGAGAGAUUGAGGUCUGCAGCGAUAGAUCCUUCGGGGCUAAAUGCAUUUGUGCUGAGUUAUAGCAUUUUAUAGACAACUUGUUGACUAUGAUUUGUCUUGUAGCUUACUCGCUUAUGUUAUUUUACCUACGCUUAGGAUGUUGAGUCGUAGAGCACGCAG